ACAAGCGGUGGAGCAUGUGGUUAAUUCGAAGCAACGCGAAGAACCUUACCAGGUCUUGACAUCCCCUGACAACCCAAGAGAUUGGGCGUUCCCCUUCGGGGGACAGGGUGACAGGUGGUGCAUGGUUGUCGUCAGCUCGUGUCGUGAGAUGUUGGGUUAAGUCCCGCAACGAGCGCAACCCUCGCCUCUAGUUGCCAGCAUUCGGUUGGGCACUCUAGAGGGACUGCCGGCGACAAGUCGGAGGAAGGUGGGGAUGACGUCAAAUCAUCAUGCCCCUUAUGACCUGGGCUACACACGUGCUACAAUGGGCGGUACAAAGGGCUGCGAACCCGCGAGGGGGAGCGAAUCCCAAAAAGCCGCUCUCAGUUCGGAUUGCAGGCUGCAACUCGCCUGCAUGAAGCCGGAAUCGCUAGUAAUCGCGGAUCAGCAUGCCGCGGUGAAUACGUUCCCGGGCCUU
rnacentral:rRNA from 1 species